AACGACGCUGGCGGCAGGCCUCAUACAUGCAAGUCGAGCGAUUAAGACUCCUUCGGGGAGUGUAUAAAGCGGCGAACGGGUGAGUAACAGGUGGAUGAUCUACCUUCCGGUGGGGGAUAACGGCUGGAAACGGCCGCUAAUACCGCAUUCGGUUAAUACGCUGUGGCGUAUUAAAGAAAGGCGCCUCAAAGCGCCGCCGGGAGAUGAGUCCGCCCCCCCAUUAGCUAGUUGGUGAGAUAACAGCUCACCAAGGCAACGAUGGGUAGCCGAACUGAGAGGUUGAUCGGCCACACUGGAACUGAGACACGGUCCAGACACCUACGGGAGGCAGCAGUCGAGAAUAGUCUACAAUGGUCGGAAGACUGAUAGUGCGACGCCGCGUGAACGAUGAAUCCCUUCGGGGUGUAAAGUUCUUUUAUAUGUGAGCAGUGCUUCUUAUAUUAACAGUAUGGGGAGAGAGAUAUUAGCAUAUGAAUAAGCAACGGCUAACUCCGUG
rnacentral:rRNA from 1 species